rnacentral:rRNA from 1 species
GACGGAGGAUGCAAGCGUUAUCCGGAAUUAUUGGGCGUAAAGCGUCCGCAGGUGGUCAUACAAGUCUGCUGUCAAAGUGCAGAGCUUAACUCUGUAAAGGCGGUGGAAACUGUAGGUCUUGAGUAUGGUAGGGGUAGAGGGAAUUCCCGGUGUAGCGGUGAAGUGCGUAGAUAUCGGGAAGAACACCAGUGGCGAAAGCGCUCUACUGGGCCAUAACUGACACUGAGGGACGAAAGCUAGGGGAGCGAAAGGG